rnacentral:rRNA from 1 species
GACGAACGCUGGCGGCGUGCUUAACACAUGCAAGUCGAACGAAGUGGCGAAAGGGUGUGUAAUGCGUAAUCAACCUGCCCUUCAGAGGGGGACAACAGUUGGAAAUGACUGCUAAUACCGCAUAUGGAAGGAGGGGAUUGCGUCUGAUUAGCUAGUUGGAGGGGUAACGGCCCACCAAGGCGAGGAUCAGUAGCCGGUCUGAGAGGAUGAACGGCCACAUUGGGACUGAGACCCUGCCCAUACUCCUACGGGAGGCAGCAGUGGGGCAUCUUCCGCAAUGUACGAAAGUCUGACGGAGCAACGCCGCGUGAGUGAUGACGGCCUUCGGGUUGUAAAGCUCUGUUAAUCGGGACGCGGUACCGGAAUAGAAAGCCACGGCUAACUACGUGCCAGCAGCCGCGGUAAUUC